rnacentral:misc_RNA from 1 species
GAUGAAGAACGCAGCGAAAUGCGAUAAGUAAUGUGAAUUGCAGAAUUCAGUGAAUCAUCGAAUCUUUGAACGCACCUUGCACUCCUUGGUAUUCCGAGGAGUAUGCUUGUUUGAGAGUACUGUAAUCAUCAAUCCUCCUUUACUUUUGUGAAGUUGGCUUGGAUUUGGGAAUUUGCUGGCCUUUCAUUAGAUCUGGCUUCCCUUGAAUGCAUUAGUUGAAUCGAGUUACAACGUUACGUGUAGUGUGAUAAUAUCUUCACUGCAUAGUUGUAAUGAAGUUUGGCUUCUAACAGUCCUUCAUUGGACAAUACUUUGAACAUUAUACCUCAAAUCAAGUAGGACUACCCGCUGAACUUAAGCAUAUCAAUAAGCGGAGGA